rnacentral:SRP_RNA from 1 species
AGGUCGGCGACGGACGUGCUCCUCGCCAACCCGGUCAGGUCCGGAAGGAAGCAGCCGUAACGAGUUCUCGCGCGGGUCGACCGCCGAUCUUCCA